UGCUCCAGGCGAGAAUUGAACCCGCAACUGUACCCCGUUUUCCGGGCUGUGCGGGUGGCGGCUGUUACCGCUCACCACCGGAGC